rnacentral:rRNA from 1 species
GACGAACGCUGGCGGCGUGCCUAAUACAUGCAAGUCGAGCGAUGAUUGAAGAUAGCUUGCUAUUUUCAUGAAGAGCGGCGAACGGGUGAGUAACGCGUGGGAAAUCUGCCGAGUAGCGGGGGACAACGUUUGGAAACGAACGCUAAUACCGCAUAACAAUGAGAAUCGCAUGAUUCUUAUUUGAAAGAAGCAAUUGCUUCACUACUUGAUGAUCCCGCGUUGUAUUAGCUAGUUGGUAGUGUAAAGGACUACCAAGGCGAUGAUACAUAGCCGACCUGAGAGGGUGAUCGGCCACACUGGGACUGAGACACGGCCCAG